rnacentral:rRNA from 1 species
UUGAUCCUGGCUCAGAACGAACGCUGGCGGCGUGGUUGAUACAUGCAAGUCGGACGGGAACGUCCCCUUCGGGGGACUAGUACAGUGGCGGACGGGUGAGUAACGCGUGAUCAAUCUACCCUCAGGAGGGGGAUAGCCACUCGAAAGAGUGGGUAAUACCCCAUAAGACCACAGUCUCUCAUGAGACAGAGGUAAAACAGUUGGGAUCUUCGGACCUUCUGCCUGAGGAUGAGAUCGCGUCCUAUUAGCUUGUUGGUAGGGUAAUGGCCUACCAAGGCUUUGAUGGGUAGCCGGCCUGAGAGGGUGGACGGCCACACUGGAACUGAGACACGGUCCAGACUCCUACGGGAGGCAGCAGUGCUGAAUUAUUCGCCAAUGCGCGAAAGCGUGACGGUGCGACGCCGCGUGCGGGACGAAGGCUUUCGAGUCGUAAACCGCUGUCAGGGUCUAGGAAACCGCAGUCGUUAAUAGCGGCUGUGCUGACCAGGCCCAAAGGAAGCACAGGCUAAUCUCGUGCCAGCAGCCGCGGUAAUACGAGAUGUGCAAGCGUUGUUCGGAAUCACUGGGCAUAAAGGGUGCGCAGGCGGCUUAGUAAGUCAGGGGUGAAAUCCCUCGGCUCAACCGGGGAAUUGCUUUUGAUACUGCUAAGCUUGAGAGCGAAAGGGGCAAGUGGAAUUCCAGGUGUAGCGGUGGAAUGCGUAGAUAUCUGGGAGAACGCCGAUGGCGAAGGCAGCUUGCUGGGUCGCUUCUGACGCUCAGGCACGAAAGCUAGGGGAGCAAACAGGAUUAGAUACCCUGGUAGUCCUAGCUGUAAACGUUGGGUACUAGGUUCCGGGAUUUCUGAUGAUUUCGGGGCCGCAGUUAAUGCAUUAAGUACCCCGCCUGGGGAGUAUGGUCGCAAGGCUAAAACUCAAAGGAAUUGACGGGGGCUCACACAAGCGGUGGAGCAUGUUGUUCAAUUCGAAGCAACGCGAAGAACCUUACCUGGCCUUGACAUGCUAGAAGUACGAACCUGAAAGGGGGAGGACCGGUAUCCAGUCCGGAACUAGCACAGGUGCUGCAUGGCUGUCGUCAGCUCGUGUCGUGAGACGUUGGGUUAAGUCCCGUAACGAGCGAAACCCUUGUCGUCUGUUGCUACCAGGUAAUGCUGGGCACUCUGGCGAGACUGCCGGUGUUAAACCGGAGGAAGGUGGGGACGACGUCAAGUCAUCAUGGUCCUUACGGCCAGGGCUACAAACGUGCUACAAUGGCAGGUACAGAGAGAAGCGAUACCGCGAGGUGGAGCAAAUCUUCAAAACCUGCCCCAGUUCGGAUUGGAGGCUGCAAUUCGCCUCCAUGAAGUUGGAAUCGCUAGUAAUCGCGGAUCAGCAACGCCGCGGUGAAUACGUUCCUGAGCAUUGUACACACCGCCCGUCAAGCCACCCAAGCUGGAAGCACCCGAAGUCCGGCGCC